UAUAUAUAUAAAUUUAUUUCUAUGUUUUUCGGGGGUGUACCACUUAAAUUUUUGAUUUCCAUUAAGACCAACAAAAGUUUUACAAAAUGAUUUGCAAUUGCCUUCUAAGCAUUAAUAUGUUCUACUCAGUACAUUGGUAGGGCGUUUGAAUCCGUAGAUGUUUUUUUUUUUUUUUUUUUUUUUUUUUUUUUUUUUUUUUUUUUUUUUUUUUUUUUUUUUUUUUUUUUUUUUAACAGUAAUAUCUUAAUAUGUAAUCUAUUCUAGCUUACCCUAAGACAUUAAUGAGUCAGCAAUAUCUAAAGUAACCCAUGUUGAGCUUCAGUUAAAUCCUAAUACUAAAGAUCUUAUUGUUUCUAAACACAAAAUAAUAUUACCACAAUCCACCACUAUCGUUCGCUUACGAGGAAUGAUAGUAAGGAUAAAAUCUUACAUCAAAUCGUUGAAAAGUAAGAUAUAUUUGGUAAUAAGAAAACGUGAUGAACAUACAACCAAAUUCAUGGAAAACUUAAAAACUCUCAAUGAGAAGGGGAUGCCAAAAAUAAUCAUACUAAACGAAGACGUAAAAGUACUUGGAGAACGAGAAAAAGCAAAGAGAUUGAUUGUUAUGAAUGAUUAUCAUACACUACCAACCGCAGGGCACGCAGGAAUUCAAAGAACGAUUAAUACAAUUAAGCAAAAAUACACUUGGCCCGGAAUCGAUAAAGACGUUAGAGAUAUGAUAGCAAAAUGUAAGCACUGUCAGCUUUAUAAAUCAAAUAAACCAUUUAAAAUUCCUCUCAAAAUAACAGAUACGGCCAAUGAAGCAAUGGAGAAGAUUUUUAUAGACCUUGUUGGUCCCCUAGUAAAUUCUAACGGAUUUGAAUAUAUCUUAACUACGCAAUGCGAUCUAACUAAAUUCAUAACAGCCACGCCAAUCACAAAUAAACGAACAGAUACAGUAGCACGAACUUUCGUAGAAAAAGUCAUCCUAAAGUAUGGAGUGCCAAGAACCAUUUGUACUGACAGGGGAACUGAAUUUUUAUCAGGAUUAUUUAGCGAAAUAUGUAAGGUAUUGCAAAUUCAGAAAUUACAAUCAACCGCUUACCAUCACGAAACAGUUUGAGCGCUGGAAAAUUCACAUAAACAGCUAGGAAAUUUCUUACGGAUAUAUAGCGAAGAGAAAGCACUAGAUUGGUUCCAAUGGGUAAACUUUUACGAGUUUGCUUAUAAUAAUACCGUGCAUACCGCUACAGGAUACACACCAUUUUACCUAAUGCAUGGAAGACAGGCUAAUGUACCAACCAACAUAAUAAAUGAGAGCGCAAAGAAAGUGCGAUACAAUCUAGACGACUAUGCGAAUGUAUUACAAAUAAAAUUGAGAAUAGCCCAUGCAGAAGUCAGGGAAAGGUUAAUAAAAAAUAAGCAAAAAAGCAAAAUCCACUACGAUGAAAAUACAAAAACGAAAAUGUUCCAACCAGGCAAUCAAGUACUAAUCAGGGAAGAAAACAAAAAAAAAUUAGAACCACAUACACCGUAAUCAAAGAUGAAGGAGAAAACGUUAGGCUCGAAGAUCAUAAUAAAAGCGAAGUAAUACACAAUAAUAGGCUCAAGAAAUGGCAUAACUAAAAAAAAAACAAAAAAAAAAUUGGGCGUGUUAUGGGAUCUGCAUGUUAAGGUUAGCGUAGUGUAACGCAUGCUUUAGUUUAUAGCAAACCCGAAGCUAGGGAGUGCCCGCGAGAGGCACUCAGUUAGGCUUUAUUACCCAACCCACCAAACAAAGCCGAAGUCGCUCGAACCUUUUACUCUGUGCCAGAGCGAGAAAGCAUGCAUUCUGCAUCAAGUUCUACAGCUGCAAACACAGCGCGUGUAGAUGUGUGUGUGCGCGGAGCGAAUGUAUAGAUGAAGAUGGGAAGCAGCGGGGUUUUCUCGUUCAGUUGAGGGACCCGAACAAUUCCCCAUGGUUUUAUCAGUCCAAUACCAACGCUGCUGAGGGAAGGGUGUGCUAUUUUUUCGCGCGGUGGGAUUCAUGCUCAUGAUUAUGAAAAACUGUAUGUUCUUUGCAAUAUUUGCUUACUAUGUUAUUGUUUUCACCAUUUUCAAAAAUUUUCCCUACUUUUCAAAUCUUCUUCUUCUUCUUUGGCUCAACAACCGUUGUCGGUCAAGGCCUGCCUGUACCACUUUUGGGCUUGGAUUUCAGUGACUAAUUGAUUUCCCACCAUAGCAGGAUAGUCAAUCCUACGUAUGGCGGCACGGUCUAUUUUUGGGGAUUGAACCCAUGACGGACAUGUUGUUAAGUCGGACGAGUUGACGACUGUACUACAAGGCCGGCCACUUUUCAAAUAUUUCAUUAAAAUACACGUGAAAGUUUCUAUAGAUAAUAUUUUCAUAGGAACCGCGCUAAAAAGCCGCAUUGCUAAGAUUGAUUAUAUUAUCGAUUUAAAAAAAAGAUUCUGAACCCGUAAUGAAAAAAAAAAAAACAAAAAUAUGAAAAACUUUUUCUAAGUAUAUUUUGAGUUGCUGAAUCUAGCUCUCGAAGAUCGUUUUUGGAUACGAUGAAUAGUUUCAAAGAUAUUUAUCAAAAACCUGUUGCUUUCUUCGAACACACAUAUUUCAAAUGUUCAGCAGUAAGCGGGUAUCUGUUCAUUGCGCGGAAGCUAGCGCCUGUGAUACUAGACAAAAAUCAAACGAUGGAAAAGAUCCAUUCUUAUUUCAUUAAAAAUCUCGCCAAGCGCGAUGUAAUAAAUGGUUAAAUUGUUUGACCGGCUGGUUUCAAACAUUUCUCCCAUCACAAACGCUGGAUCAAGACCCGGCGGUAAGUACCCUUUAAUCCAUAUACAAAAAUAACUCUCCAUCAGUUCACAGGCAAACAGGCAGCAAAGAGGAUUCCACAAAGCACAAGCGGCUCCAGGCUUAACCCGCCGUCCACCCCACCUGGUCUUGCCCCCCCAAGGCGAACGCGAAAAAAAGGAACGCCCCAAAAUCAAACUGCACAGUGUGUGUGCGUGUGUUGUUUUGCUUCUUUCCCAUUCGAAACCCGAACUAAUUUCGGCUUUUUGCACGAAGAAAGGUUCGAGCCAUCGCUUCCGCUCGAAGUCGAGCAAGGGUUCGAGCGAUAAGCUCCCUCGAACCCAUCUCGAACCUUAUUUCCUUCGAGCGACUUCGGCUUUGUCUGUUGGGAACAGUCAAAAGCCGAAGAUUUUAUAUUGACCUUUCACUUUUUCUAUCUGUCUCUCGCUCUAAUUUGAGCGAUUUUCCCCUGAUGAGUGUCCCCGAGCCUCCUCGUGUGGUUGUUGUUGUUGGAAGUUGAAGCCGAACCCCCUUCGUGCGCUGCCAAAAUCAGCGAAGAACGAAAUCGAGUGGCUCAAGCGAAAAAACGAAAAAAAAUGACGAACGAGUGUGCUGUGACAAUAACACACACACGCACAAGGCGACACCCGAAAUCUGGUGCGAUACCGGCUUUCAGUGGAGCAAGUACACACAUGCACACAUUUGGCCACACCACGGUGAUACAACACACAGCCACGCACUUGGCGAUACACGCUGUGUGGUGCGGUGCGGCGGACGUUCAGAAUUCAGUGGUGCAAAUACACACAUGCAUACACUUGGCGACACACGCUCUGCUGUGCGGUGAGAUUUGUGUUCUGUGUCCAGUGGUGCAAAUAUACACACACACGCACUUGGCUACACACGCAGUACGGCGCGGUUGGCUUGGCAGAAGCGCAUACACACAUUCACGCAGUAGGCUUUACUUUCAGUCCAGUGAGGUUGGUGCUUGUGUGGUGUUUCAGCGCUUGGCGAAUAAACCCCGUAAAAAAUGGAGUUUUGUUUAAUUUGAGGUAAGUAAAAGUGAUUAAAAUUAUCAACCAACAUCCUCCCUUCUAAUUAAUAUCAUUUUUCUUCCAUUUCAUGUGUGUUUCACGGCGAACGGAGACAACAAAACCUGUGGCAGUGUCGUGGUGUUGGAGAUGGUGGGCCGUACAGUGCAGCGAGAACUAGGCGCGACAGCAAUGAGGAGCAGAAAGUGUUGUGCUAAUUUUUCUCUGUGCGAGUGUAAAAAGUGUUUGUUAAAUUAUGUGCAUUUGGAAUUAAGUGCAGUAGUUAUUGUGCAUGUGUUGUGUAUUUUUUGUAUUCUAUGUUGGUUCGAUAUUCAAUAAAUCGAAUUACGAUAGAAUAAUGGUGUGCACUGUAUCUUUUCGGAAAGAAAUCCUGGCAAAAAAGGGGGAGGGGGCUAUUUUAACGAAGGGUCGUGCCGAACCCCGUUCGGGUUUUGCUUCGGCUUCGGGUUUGCUUCGGCUUCGGGACCCGACAGAUCGGUUGAAUAACCCAACCAGCAAAACCGAAGCUAUUGGAAAACUUUCCUGUGUGCCAAAGCGAGAGAGCAUGUCUUCUUUCUCUAGAUUUUGGACGGCACAACGCCGAUCGUGCGGCCUAUGAACGAAAAACGGGAGAAGGGGAAACCGAUAUCCUUCGAGCGACACACACGCAUGCAUCUGCAUGCGUAUUCCGUUGAACCGAGACUACACAUCUCUCUCGAUCUCCCAUGAUUUUUCUGCUAUCGCGCUCAUCCGGGUGUUAGGUAUCCUCAGUCUGUCCAGAACUUUCACUGUGGAAGGAUGUGUUGGAGUGAUGUGUGAUUUCUUGUGUCCCGUACUUUGCUCGUUUACGUUUUGUGCCGUGUUCCUUCUUCUUCAAUUAUGGAAUGAUUUAUCCUUGUAAAUUUCUAAGUUACAGUGCACGCGCAUGUUAAUCGACGGUUGCCAACAUCCCGCAAAACGAUCGACGGAAGGAAAACGGUGUCCGGUUUUAAAAUAUAAAGAAGAGCGCACUUCAAGGACGCCUAGGAUACGGCUAAACAUGCGCAGCACCAGUCCGUGACGUCAUUUCCAGACAGGCGCCGGCUGAACACGCGCAGCACCAGUCGAGGAUAUCCUAGCGCAGAGGGUAGAAGGAAGAACGAGAGGAAGGGUAACAGAAAGCAACCGCAGCAUUUGGAAGGGGUGAAGCAUCCUGCCGUAUACAGAGUGUGAGUGUGCCAAAACGCAUGUGGAAAGAGUAACACCAAUAAAUAACAUGCGAAAGUGUGCAUAAAGCAAAAAUAAAAAGCAUCACUACUACAACCAGCAAUCCGAAAAUAUAAGGGGAGGGAUAAAUACAAAUGUAUGCGUAAGCAGGACCAGCAAUCCAAGCAUUUGAAUGUGUGCGUCGGUUUGUGCCGUGCUGAAAGUUUUUACUUUAGCUGCUGCUAGUGUAAAAACUUAAGGAAAGCUUAAUGUAAAAAUUUUUUACACGGGGCGCCUUCGGAAAUUGUUGGCUGGGAAUUUCGCCAACUCAGCUUCAAAGCCACCCAACAGUCAAAAGCCGAAGAUUUUAUAUUGACCUUUCACUUUUUCUAUCUGUCUCUCGCUCUAAUUUGAGCGAUUUUCCCCUGAUGAGUGUCCCCGAGCCUCCUCGUGUGGUUGUUGUUGUUGGAAGUUGAAACCGAAACCCCUUCGUGCGCUGCCAAAAUCAGCGAAGAACGAAAUCGAGUGGCUCAAGCAAAAAAACGAAAAAAAAAUGACGAACGAGUGUGCUGUGACAAUAACACACACACGCACAAGGCGACACCCGAAAUCUGGUGCGAUACCGGCUUUCAGUGGAGCAAGUACACACAUGCACACAUUUGGCCACACCACGGUGAUACUACACACAGCCACGCACUUGGCGAUACACGCUGUGUGGUGCGGUGCGGCGGACGUUCAGAAUUCAGUGGUGCAAAUACACACAUGCAUACACACACGCUCUGCUGCGCGGUGAGAUUUGUGUUCUGUGUCCAGUGGUGCAAAUAUACACACACACGCACUUGGCUACACACGCAGUACGGCGCGGUUGGCUUGGCAGAAGCGCAUACACACAUUCACGCAGUAGGCUUUACUUUCAGUCCAGUGAGGUUGGUGCUUGUGUGGUGUUUCAGCUCUUGGUGGUCAGCGGAUAAACCCCGUAAAAAUGGAGAUCAUUCUAAUUUAAGGUAAGUAAAAGUGAUUAAAAUUAUCAACCAAUAUUCCCCCUUCUAAAUAUUAUCAUUUUUCUUCCAUUUCAUGUGUGUUUCACGGCGAACGGAGACAACAAAAGCUGUGGCUGUGGCGUGGUAUUGGAGAUGGUGGGCCGUACAGUGCAGCGAGAACUAGGCGCGACAGCGAUGAGGAGCAGAAAGUGUUGUGCUAAUUUUUCUCUGUGCAAGUGUAAAAAGUGUUUGUUAAAUUAUGUGCGUGAAUUUAGAAUUAAGUGGUGGUUAUUGUGCAUGUGUUGUGUUUUUUUCGUAUUUAUGUUAUAUAAAAUAAUCAAUAAAUCGAAUCAUGUUGAUAUAAUGGUUCGCACUGUAUCAUUUUGGAAAGAAAUCCUGGCAAAAAAGGGGGAGGGGGCUAAUUAAACGAAGGUUCGUGCCGAACCCCGUUCGGGUUUUGCUUCGGCUUCGGGUUUGCUUCGGCUUCGGGACCCGACGGAUCGGUUGAAUAACCCAACCAGCAAAACCGAAGCUAUUGGAAAACUUUCCUGUGUGCCAAAGCGAGAGAGCAUGUCUUCUUUCUCUAGAUUUUGGACGGCACAACGCCGAUCGUGUGGCCUAUGAACGAAAAACGGGAGAAGGGGAAACCGAUAUCCUUCGAGUGACACACACGCAUGCAUCUGCAUGCGUAUUCCGCUAAACCGAGACUGCCCAUCUCUCUCGAUCUCCCAAGAUUUUUCUGCUAUCGCGCUCAUCCGGGUGUUAGGCAUCCUCAGUCUGUCCAGAACUUUCACUGUGGAAGGAUGUGUUGGAGUGAUGUGUGAUUUCUUGUGCCCCGUACUUUGCUCGUUUACGUUUUGUGCCGUGUUCCUUCUUCUUCAAUUAUGGAAUGAUUUAUCCUUGUAAAUUUCUAAGUUACAGGUGCACGCGCAUGUUAAUCGACGGUUGCCAACAUCCCGCAAAACGAUCGACGGAAGGAAAACGGUGUCCGGUUUUAAAAUAUUAAGAUUUCAUCACAGCUCUUUCGUAAAAGAGCGCACUUCAAGGACGCCUAGGAUACGGCUAAACAUGCGCAGCACCAGUCCGUGACGUCAUUUCCAGACAGGCGCCGGCUGAACACGCGCAGCACCAGUCGAGGAUAUCUUAGCGCAAAGGGUAGAAGGAAGAACGAGAGGAAGGGUAACAGAAAGCAACCGCAGCAUUUGGAAGGGGUGAAGCAUCCUGCCGUAUACAGAGUGUGAGUGUUCCAAAACGUAUGUGGAAAGAGUAACACCAAUAAACAGCAUGCGAAAGUGUGCAUAAAGCAAAAAGAAAAAGCGUCACUACUACAACCAGCAAUCCGAAAAUAUAAGGGGAGGGAUAAAUACAAAUGUAUGCGUAAGCAGGACCAGCAAUCCAAGCAUUUGAAUGUGUGCGUCGGUUUGUGCCGUGCUGAAAGUUUUUACUUUAGCUGCUGCUAGUGUAAAAACUUAAGGAAAGCUUAAAGUAAAAAAUUUUUACACGGGUCACCUUCGGAAAUUGUUGGCUGGGAAUUUCGCCAACUCAGCUUCAAAGCCAGCUUCAAUCUCAGCGGAUCUCUGAGUGCUGGUGACCGGUGGGCAGCUUCAAUCUCAGCGGAUCUCUGAGUGCUGGUGACCGGUGGGAAGUACCCAACAGUCAAAAGCCGAAGAUUUUAUAUUGACCUUUCGUUUUUUCUAUCUGUCUCUCGCUCUAAUUUGAGUGAUUUUCCCUUCGUGAGUAUCCACGAGCUCCCUCGUGUGGUUGUUGUUGUUGGAAGUUGAAACCGAACCCCCUUCGUGCGCUGCCAAAAUCAGCGAAGAACGAAAUCGAGUGGCUCAAGCGAAAAAACGAAAAAAAAUGACGAACGAGUGUGCUGUGACAAUAACACACACACACGCACAAGGCGACACCCGAAAUCUGGUGCGAUACCGGCUUUCAGUGGAGCAAGUACACACAUGCACACAUUUGACCAUACCAGCGCUCUGUUCUAGUGCAGGUAGUUUUCUGCAGUCCACGGUGAUACUACACACAGCCACGCACUUGGCGAUACACGCUGUGUGGUGGACGUUCAGAAUUCAGUGGUGCAAAUACACACAUGCAUACACUUGGCGACACACGCUCUGCUGUGCGGUGAGAUUUGUGUUCUGUGUCCAGUGGUGCAAAUAUACACACACACGCACUUGGCUACACACGCAGUACGGCGCGGUUGGCUUGGCAGAAGCGCAUACACACAUUCACGCAGUAGGCUUUACUUUCAGUUCAGUGAGGUUGGUGCUUGUGUGGUGUUUCAGCGCUUGGUAGUCAGCGGAUAAACCCCGUAAAAAAUGGAGUUUUGUUUAAUUUGAGGUAAGUAAAAGUGAUUAAAAUUAUCAACCAACAUCCCCCUUUCUAAUUAAUAUCAUUUUUCUUCCAUUUCAUGUGUGUUUCACGGCGAACGGAGACAACAAAAACCUGUGGCUGUGUCGUAGUGUUGGAGCAGUGGCCCGUACAGUGCAGCGAGAAAAACCAGGAGCAACAGCGAUGAGGAGCAGAAAGUGCUGUGCUGAAUUUGUUUUUUUUUUUCACUGUGCGAGUGUAAAAAGUGUUUUUUUUAAUUAUGUGCGUUGAUUUAUAAUUAAGUGCAGUGAUUAUUGUGCAAGUGUUGUGUUUUUUUUUGUAUUGUUGGUUCGAUAUUCAAUAAAUCGAUUUACGAUAGUUUAAUGGUGUGCACUGUAUCAUUUCGGAAAGAAAUCCUGGCAAAAAAGGGGGAGGGGGCUAAUUAAACGAAGGUUCGUGCAGACCCCCGUUCGGGUUUUGCUUCGGCUUCGGGUUUGCUUCGGCUUCGGGACCCGACGGAUCGGUUGAAUAAUUUCGCCAACUCAGCUUCAAAGCCAGCUUCAAUCUCAGCGGAUCUCUGAGUGCUGGUGACCGGUGGGUAGUGGCAAUGUGGUAACGAAGCUCUCUCUUUUGCUCGACACCGAAGCGAUCGGUUCGACGCACACACCCAUCCUGUUAUCUUAAGUGGUGAUAAUAAAAAGUACUUGUAACCCCUGUAAACCCACAAAACAGCGGUCCUUGUCUCUGGGAUAGCCAGCAUCGCCCGAGGGCGGAAAGUUCUUGCGGGCACGUACAGCUGUAUCGACGAGAGCAAAACUGGACAAUCGAUGCUACCAUUGAGAAGCCCAACGAUAAAAGCCAGCCUAGCAUUUCGUAUUCGGUCGUCGAGUUGGGGUAACCCGAGCAAUAAACACCUUGUUGUGUAGUUGUUGUUGCUGCCCCACGAACGGAGCGCGAAACGGGUAGCCCUACGCUGGAUGGACUCCAAGUAUACUUAUAUAAUUUGAAAUAUAAGCCGGCAUCGCGAAUAAAUGAACACAUUUUAACAGUCGUUUAAAGUU